rfam:Glossina pallidipes unplaced genomic scaffold Scaffold310, whole genome shotgun sequence.
AGGUCCCACCAUCGUGCUAAUGACAACCAGCCUCCGCGAAGUAAUACCUAACCGCGAUCCCGCGGGGGAGAGUGGUAGAAGAAGUGUGUGGGGGGUAGUUUUUAGUACGUAAGCGCCAUGAAUUUCGAAUCGUGCAUGCUGCUACCAAGAACCAGCAGUAUCUUUUGAAGAUUUUCUACCUCCUGCUCAC